CCUACGGGAGGCAGCAGUGGGGAAUAUUGCACAAUGGGGGAAACCCUGAUGCAGCGAAGCCGCGUGAGUGAAGAAGUAUCUCGGUAUGUUAAGCUUCUUUUGCAGGGAAGAAAAUGACGGUACCUGACUAAGAAGCCCCGGACAACUACGUGCCAGCAGCCGCGGGAACCAGGAGGGGGCAAGCGUUAUACGGAUUUACUGGGGGUUAAGGGAGCGUAGGCGGCGCUGCAAGUCCGGAGUGAAAGUCCAUGGCUUAACCAUGGAACUGCCCUUGAAACUGUGGAGCUUGAGUGAGAGAGGGGCAGGCGGAAUGCGUGGUGUAGCGGUGAAAUGCAUAGAUAUUAGGAAGAACACCGACGGCGAAGGCAGCCUGCUGGAGCGUGACUGACGUUGAGGCUCGAAAGCGUGGGGAGCGAACAGGAUUAGAUACCCGUGUAGUC
rnacentral:rRNA from 1 species